AUACGAAAGGUGCAAGCGUUGUUCGGAUUUACUGGGCGUAAAGAGAGUGUAGGUGGUUUAUUAAGUUGGAUGUGAAAUCCCGGGGCUCAACCUCGGAACUGCAUUCGAUACUGAUAGGCUAGAGUUUGGGAGGGGUAAGCGGAAUUCCGUGUGUAGCAGUGAAAUGCGUAGAUAUACGGAGGAACACCUGAGGCGAAGGCGGCUUACUGGACCAAUACUGACACUGAGACUCGAAAGCGUGGGUAGCAAACAGGAUUAGAAACCCUAGUAGUCC
rnacentral:rRNA from 1 species